rnacentral:rRNA from 1 species
AUUGAACGCUGGCGGCAGGCCUAACACAUGCAAGUCGAGCGAGCGGCGGACGGGUGAUUACUGUAUGUGUGCUGCCCGAUAGAGAUGGAUACCUACUGGGAACGGUAGCUACUACCACGUACUAUCGGAUUACCUAUAUGGGAUUAGCUAGUAGGUGAGGUAAUGGCUGACCUAGGCGACGAUCCCUAGCUGGUCUGAGAGGAUGAUCAGUCACACUGGGACGGAGACACGGCCCAGACUCCUACGGAGGCAGCAGUGGGGAAUAUUGGACAAUGGGCGCAAGCCUGAUGCAGCCAUGCCGCGUGUAUGAAGAAGGUCUUCGGGUUGUAAAGUACUUUCAGUCGGGAGGCGUUACCGACAGAAGAAGCACCGGCUAACUCCGUGCCAGCAGCCGCGGUAAUAC